GUUGUAUCUGCUUUUGUUUUAUUUUCAUUAGGGAUUCCAAGAUCAUUAUUGGUCAAUUGAUUUAAAGUAUUCUAGUUUAGAUUUUAAUGCUUGUUUAUUGGAUUAAUCAAAGGGCUUGAGUCGAGGUUGGUUCUACUUGCUCCCUGAGGUGGACUCUUGUGUUGCACCAGUGGUUCGACUAAGACUCCUAGGGUGAGGUUUCAUAGUACGGUAGUGUGUGAUCUACUGUAUAAAUGUGUUGAUGUCAUUAGAGCAAGGGCUCUCAGAUUAUACAUCGUGUGAUCUCUGUAUAUGCAACUAAUAAGUUUCGUGAAAAAGCUAUUGGCCUUUAACUGUGGCGUGUGAUUCAUCGUCCAUGUUAGGACAAGCUAUGCUAAUUUAGAGUACUUACGAUGAUUAUUUGUUGGUCGACCACCCCCGGAUUGCGCAAUCCCUCAAGUGAUAUUCAGAUUCUGGUAGGACGUGUAGAGUAUGCCUACAAAUGCUGCUCACACGAAUCUUUUUUGUUGGUUUCAUGGUCUCAGCACAAUCUCAAUUCUACACGAGUAUAGAUAGCCAAUCAGUGCUUAUUGCUAACCCCAUAAGACAUUUUUCCCUUGUGUUUCUCUGUAUUUCAGUCACGGGUACUGGAACUGAGGGUGGAGAGAGAGUUGGUCGGGGUUUUGAUAUCAGAUGAUAUCCAUUAUCGAUGUAUUUCUGAACUGCAGUUGUAUCUGCUUUUGUUUUAUUUUCAUUAGGGAUUCCAAGAUCAUUAUUGGUCAAUUUAUUUAAAGUAUUCCAGUUCAGAUUUUAAUGCUUGUUUAUUGGAUUAAUCAAAGGGCUUGAGUCGAGGUUGGUUCUACUUGCUCCCUGAGGUGGACUCUUGUGUUGCACCUGUGGUUCGACCAAGACUCCUAGGGUGAGGUUUCAUAGUACGGUAGUGUGUGAUCUACUGUAUAAAUGUGUUGAUGUCAUUAGAGCAAGGGCUCUCAGAUUAUACAUCGUGUGAUCUCUAUAUAUGCAACUAAUAAGUUUUGUGCAAAAGCUAUUGGCCUUUAACUGUGGCGUGUGAUUCAUCGUCCAUGUUAGGACAGGAUAUGCUAAUUUAGAGUACUUACGAUGAUUAUUUGUUGGUCGACCACCCCCGGAUUGCGCAAUCCCUCAAGUGAUAUUCAGAUUCUGGUAGGACGUGUAGAGUUUGCCUACAAAUGCUGCUCACACGAAUCCUUUCAGGUGGUUUCAUGGUCUUAUCAACGGUGAGGUUGUCCACACUGUUACGGGUGGCUGAUGCUAGGUAUAUUCCUAUACGGACCAUAGGGUCACAUCACUAGAUGCAGUGAUUAGAUAGACUUUCGUGUUGAAUUCUUAGCACAAUCUCAAUUCUACACGAGUAUAGAUAGCCAAUCAGUGCUUAUUGCUAACCCCAUAAGACAUUUUUCCCUUGUGUUUCUCUGUAUUUCAGUCACGGGUACUGGAACUGAGGGUGGAGAGAGAGUUGGUCGGGGUUUUGAUAUCAGAUGAUAUCCAUUAUCGAUGUAUUUCUGAACUGGAGUUGUAUCUGCUUUUGUUUUAUUUUCAUUAGGGAUUCCAAGAUCAUUAUUGGUCAAUUUAUUUAAAGUAUUCCAGUUCAGAUUUUAAUGCUUGUUUAUUGGAUUAAUCAAAGGGCUUGAGUCGAGGUUGGUUCUACUUGCUCCCUGAGGUGGACUCUUGUGUUGCACCAGUGGUUCGACUAAGACUCCUAGGGUGAGGUUUCAUAGUACAGUAGUGUGUGAUCUACUGUAUAAAUGUGUUGAUGUCAUUAGAGCAAGGGCUCUCAGAUUAUACAUCGUGUGAUCUCUGUAUAUGCAACUAAUAAGUUUCGUGAAAAAGCUAUUGGCCUUUAACUGUGGCGUGUGAUUCAUCGUCCAUGUUAGGACAGGAUAUGCUAAUUUAGAGUACUUACGAUGAUUAUUUUUUUGUCGACCACCCCCGGAUUGCGCAAUCCCUCAAGUGAUAUUCAGAUUCUGGUAGGACGUGUAGAGUAUGCCUACAAAUGCUGCUCACACGAAUCUUUUUUGUUGGUUUCAUGGUCUCAGCACAAUCUCAAUUCUACACGAGUAUAGAUAGCCAAUCAGUGCUUAUUGCUAACCCCAUAAGACAUUUUUCCCUUGUGUUUCUCUGUAUUUCAGUCACGGGUACUGGAACUGAGGGUGGAGAGAGAGUUGGUCGGGGUUUUGAUAUCAGAUGAUAUCCAUUAUCGACGUAUUUCUGAACUAGAGUUGUAUCUGCUUUUGUUUUAUUUUCAUUAGGGAUUCCAAGAUCAUUAUUGGUCAAUUUAUUUAAAGUAUUCCAGUUCAGUUUUUAAUGCUUGUUUAUUGGAUUUAUCAAAGGUCUUGAGUCGAGGUUGGUUCAACUUGCACCCUGAGGUGGACUCUUGUGUUGCACCAGUGGUUCGACCAAGACUCCUAGGGUGAGGUUUCAUAGUACAGUAGUG
rnacentral:lncRNA from 1 species